CCCUGAUGAGAUGUAUCUCACUUGAAUUGAAAUCCCAUCUUCAAUACUUUUGAUGCUGACUAUAAACUUUAUUUUCAUAUAAAGGGCCUUUUGAUAUUAAGUAGUAGUUGGUCGGGAAUAAAAGUGGAAGACCAUGCUGUAUGUGGCUCCAAGCUGACUCUACUCUGUUCCAGUUUAUAUAUUAUGUUCUCUUAGUUUAAAACCUGUUAAGUGCAGUACCAUAAACCCCAUGAGCUAGCUUGAACAUGAGUUAUUGAUAUGCCAUGGUCUUCCAUGGUCUUUAGACAAAUCAAUAAACCAACCAACUCAAGUCUGAGCCUAUAGGGAGCACUGUGUUGCUUCAGUUGUUUCUAAUCAUGUUGCAAAAGGGUGAAUAUUGAGGACCUGACCGUGGACUAUGAGAUAUUUUGUCCCCCCUUUUUACUCUGAAGCGAAUAUAUAAUUUGAUGUCAUUUAAACUGUCUAUUAACAUUUCGUUUGAUGCAUCGCAGGU